GCAUUUUUAAAGCCACAAGCACCCUGCUGAACAGAACUCCAAACAGAGGAGUAGCAAAAUGGGAGGAAGGUGCUGUGACUAAAUGAAGGAAGGCUGAGGGGUUAAAAUCAUUGCUGGGUGAUUUCACCACUACUGCCCCAUAUUCAUACUCUCGGUAAAUGAAUGAGGAGAGCCCCAUGUGGGAUUACAAACUUGCUGGAAAUGGAUGAGAAACCUUCUGCUCUGCUGGAGUUUAUCUUGAGUGUGCCUUAAAAUUCCAUUUCAUGGAGAACUGUGCGUGGUUGAAUUUUGAUUGAUUACUCAAUUAACUGAUGUAUUGGUAGAGUGAUUAAGAAAGAAGACUUUGGGAUCAGACCAACCUGGUUUUGAAUUCAAGCUCAGCAACUUACUAGGUAAGGAGGAGAAAAGAAAGAAGGAAAAAUUGGAAAGAUAAAUGGGGUCUUUCCAGUGAAGGCUCAAUUUUCCUACAUAAUUAAGAGUUUGGAAUUCGGGCAAUAUCAAGAACCACAUCUGUCCUGAAAUCAAUUAUCUCUGUUUGGAAUAUGGAUAUGAGAGAUCACUUUGCUGUGCUGUAAAUGAUCGAUUAAAAUACAUAUUUCUUUUGUCUCCUGGUACUUUCUUAUCCCAGUGCUGUGCUGAGCCAUAUUGGAGCCUAAGGCAAAAGGGACCAUCAGUAACACUAAUCCUGUCUUUAUUUAAAAUUUUGAUAUUUUGUUCAUCAUGGAUUUAUUUGCAUAAAUUUUAAUAUUGAAAUCUAUUGAUUAAAAUAUUAUGUAUCUUGAUUACUGAGUUUUUCGUUAUCCCUUCUGUUCUUGAGACAAUGACUCAUUUAUCUGGCCCUACUCUCUGCUCUGAUUACUCCUUCAAAACUACGUGUAUCUCCGGUCUUAGAACAUCCAAG
rnacentral:lncRNA from 1 species